UUGCGGAUGUAGCUGGGAUUCCAAAUGUGAUUGGUGCCAUUGAUGGAUCACAUGUUGAAAUUACGAAGCCAGGCCCAACAGAAGAAAGGCCGUUCAUUAACAGGAAGGGAAGGGCAUCCAUAAAUGUAAUGGCAGUUUGUGAUAAUAAAGGAAGAUUUACUUUCAUAAACGCAGAAUGGCCGGGCUCUGCGCAUGACAGUUUUGUUUUUCGAGCGUCUUCGCUACAGGACUUUCUGGAGGAAAAUAUUCAUACACUUGAAGAUGGUGUUCUACUUGCUGACAG